GAUGAACGCUAGCGGCAGGCCUAAUACAUGCAAGUCGAACGGUCAGCAAUGACAGUGGCGCACGGGUGCGUAACGCGUAUGCAACUUACCCAACAGUGGGGAAUAGCCCGGGGAAACCCGGAUUAAUACCGCAUAAGAUAAUUAGAUGGCAUCAUUUGAUUAUGAAACAUUUAUGGCUGAUGGAUGGGCAUGCGUAAGAUUAGCUAGUUGGCGGUGAAGGGACCACCAAGGCGAUGAUCUUUAGGGGUCUGAGAGGAAGAUCCCCCANACUGGUACUGAGAUACGGACCAGACUCCUAGGGAGGCAGCAGUAGGGAAUAUUGGGCAAUGCCCCGNAAGGGUGACCCCAGCCAUGCCGCGUGCAGGAAGAA
rnacentral:rRNA from 1 species